CUAUAAACAAAGCCCCAUCGAAACCAUUCUGGCGCGGUGUGGGGUAAUAAGGGGUAAUAAUGUUUCAUUGGGUAGAUUGACCUACUUACACUCGCCCCUAUAAAAACGUUAACGGAUCGGUGUGGGAUUUUAGUUAUUGGGCCGUUAACGUCUUUCCGCUUUCGUGCCGGUGUGGGAUUUCCCCAAUCACGCCAGAAUCAACAUGAUAAAAUCUUUAUUAUAAAACAGUUAAAAGUAUUAUGAUGUUUUUUUUUAUUUAAUAUAAUUUAUUUUAAUUAUAAAUUUGGCUUUGUAUCACUUUUUAAAGUAAUAUUAUGAUUUAUUUAUUUAUCAAUUAGGGUUCUAUUGGUGAAUUGCCCUAACUGGUCUGGUAAAGUUUUACCCUUGCCGGUCCAGUUCUGGAAAUCCCUAAACAAAAAGGCAUUUUUUUCCCCCGCUGUACAAACUAAAAAAAAAAAACAAAAGAAAACAUACAAACAAAUGAAAAUGAAAAAAUAAAAAACACAGAUGUUUAAUUACAUAUAGAAUCUUUAACCUCAGGAGAACAUCUUGGAUCUAGAUAAAAAAAAAUUAUCUAGAUCUACAUUUUUCAUUUUAUGCAGAUUUUUUUCGACCAAUGAAAAAGAAGUAUUCUAUUUAGACCUACGUUCUUUUGUUUUAAGCGCGCAAACAAAAUAAUUAAUGAAAUCUCGUUCCAGCACUUAAUUGUCUCAUUGUUCCGGAAUACAUCGCGCCGAUCACAUCUCUCCUCGUAUUUAAUAGCGCUUAUACCUAGACAAUAGAUCUAGACUUAGAUUUUUAUUACUCAACUUGUGUGUAAAGUACAGGUAAGCCAGUUGCAAAGGCCGAAAUAUCUUUUAAUUUCUUGUAAAUAUGCCUCACACCAACAUUUUAUGCAAAUUAAAUUAGUAAUUUAAAGUAAAAUAAAUUAGUAGGAUCUAGCUAGAUCUAAUUAAAUUCAAAUCUUUUCUAUUCUCGAUCUAGAUCUAGAAUUGUGCCUGAGUUAAUUUUAAAAUAUCUAAGAUUUUUCUAGACCUAGAUUUUUUAAUUAUAAGUAUUAUGGCGAUUAUUAUUUGAAUUCAAAUUAAUGGUCUUGAUUGUUUAUAAUUAUCUAGAUCUAAUAAAAAUCUAAUCUAGAUUCUAGAUGUAUAUUUAUAAUAUUAUAGUCUAUAGAAUAGAAUCAUCACGUGUUGUGAAGUAGAUCUAAAUGUAAUAAAAUGAUUUAUUGAUUCUAGAAUCUAUAUACGCCUAGAUCAAUUAUAAAAAAAAAAAUAAUCUAAGAAAAUUAGAUCUAAAAAAUAUAAUUCAAAUAAAGUAUUUAAUAAAUAAAUUUCUAAUCUAGAUUUAGUUGUGAAAUAAACGUUACUUUGGAACUUGAUUUAGUGAAAUUUAGUCUAAGAUUAUCUUAUCUAGAGCCUAUUAUAUAUCUAGAUUAUUCUAGAUCUAGAUCUUGAUUGAGUUAAUCUAGUCACUCAGUUCUUGAAAUGUCUAGAUGUAGAUUUAGAUUAUAAUAUAGUUCUAGUUCUAGACUCUUUAAUAUAGAAUAAUAUAGAAUAUUCUAUAGAUUGAAACUAGAUUAGAUCUAUCAUCUAGUUCUAGUUUGUUUGUUUUUUUUUGGUAAUACCACUUUAAGUUUAAGUUAAAGAGCUAGGCUACUCAAAAAUUUUCACUAACAUAAAUAAAAUAAAAAUUGUCUAGACUUAAACUUCUAAAAUGCUCACUAAAAAAAGUAAAACAAACUGCUCCUAUUGGACUAAACGUCGAAAAAUCCAGACAGAAGUUGACUCUCUAUUACAAGUUAGACAAAAUCGAACUGUCCAGAAUUAUGUUCAACCAAAUUAUAGGUCUAAUUUAUCACCAGAGUCUGUCAUUCCUAUUAUUCCUAAUACUAAUAACAUAGACAUAGUUGAUGACCAAUCACAAUCUCCUGAUAUAGCACCUUUGAUAGAUUUAAAUUUUUCAUUUGAAUCAAAUGACAAUAAUGCAAGAAAUGUUUCUGCAAAUAUGCCUAGUUUAGAUAGUGAUGAUCCUGAGAAUAUUUCUUUUAGUUUUUGCGAAAGCAAUGAAAAUGGGUCUAUGAUUGAUUUUGAUUCUAUUUAUAAUUCAUCGGAGUCAGAAGAUGAUUCAGAUUGUAAUGAUGAUUUUAAAUUAGUCCUCAAAAUGUGGGCGUUAAAUAAUCAAAUAACUCACAAUGCUUUAAAAGACUUGCUUUUGGUUUUGAGAAGGUUUACCCAUUUUGACUUACCUAUAGAUCCUCGUACCUUGCUGGGUACAAAAGUAGUAGAAGGCAUAAAAGAAAAAACAGGUGGGCUUUAUUAUCACUUUGGUGUUAGCAAUGGCCUAAAUCAGCUUUUAAAAGAAAAUCCUGAACUAAUGGCUUCAAAUACAGUUUAUCUCCAAAUAAAUAUUGAUGGUUUGCCAUUGUUUAAGAGUAAUUCUUUGCAGUUGUGGCCAAUUUUAGGUUUGAUUUUGCAGUCUAAUGCUCCAUAUACAGAGCCAUUUGUCAUAGGUGUAUUUUCUGGGAAUCAAAAACCAACUGAUGUUAAUGAGUUUUUAAAAGAAUUUGUAGAUGAAAUGCUAGUUUUAUCAAAAGAUGGUUUAAAUUUUAAUGGGCAUCAUUUAAAUGUUACAAUAAAAAACUUUAUUUGUGACACUCCUGCUCGCUCUUUUGUUAAAUGUGUUAAAUCUCACAAUGGUUACUCUGGUUGUGACAAAUGUAUUACAGAGGGUACAUACAUGGAAGGUAGGAUGACCUUUCCUGAUUUAAAAGCAUCCCUCAGAAAUGAUGUUAUGUUUGAUGAAAAGCUUGAUGAAGAGCAUCAUAGGGGUGAUUCUAUUCUUUCUUCUUUAGGAUUAGGUAUGGUUUCAGCUUUUCCAUUAGAUUACAUGCAUUUGAUAUGUCUUGGUAUUAUGAAAAAAUUGCUUUCAUACUGGACAAAAGGGCCACUUAAUGUUCGAAUAGGGCGUCAGAUAAAAUGUGCGAUAGAUGCAUCAUUAUUGUCUUUUGUACCUUAUAUACCAAAAGAAUUUUCGCGAAAGCCAAGGUCCUUGGUAGAAUUAGAUAGGUGGAAGGCAACUGAGUUAAGAUUGUUUUUAUUGUAUACUGGACCUGUUAUUGUUGUAAAUUCUUUAUCAGAAGAAGUUGUGCACAAUUUUUUAUUAUUUUCUUCAGCAAUACAUAUUCUAGUAAGUCCAUCGCUCUGUCAGAAAUAUGCUGAUUAUGCUCAACAACUUUUAGUAUCAUUUAUCAGUCAUUCUUCUAAUCUUUAUGGUCCAUCAUCAGUUGUUUAUAAUAUGCAUGCUGUUAUUCAUUUACCAGAAGAUGUAAAGCGUUUUGGUUCACUUGAUAAUUUUUCCGCCUUUCCAUUUGAAAACUUUCUUGGCAGGUUAAAACGAUUAAUUAGAAAACCAAGUUUCCCACUUUCUCAGUUAGUUACUAGAUUGUUGGAAUUAAAGCAUAUGCCACAUUUUCCUAAAUUUGAAACCCCUAGUUUGCAUCAGAAAUUUGGUCUUAAAAAGGAACAUUCUAAUGGCCCAUUAGUUGCUGGAGAGAUGUGUGUUUCCUGUUCUCAGUUUAAACAAGCAACUAUCAAUAAUAUUUUGAUUGGUAUAGGUUUAGCUGACUCUUGUGUACAGAUUGAAAAAAAAGUUGUAUUAAUAAAAAAUAUAAUUUUACAUGCAAAUAAAGUAUAUGUAAUUUAUCAAUUUUUUUCAAGCUGUAAAAGUUUUUUCUUAUAUCCAUUAGAAUCUUCUCUAUUGGAUAUUUUGGUUGUUUCUGAUGUUGACAAACAUCUUAAUAUAGCUAGUGCAGAAUCCAUAACUUGCAAAUAUGUAAGACUACCAUAUCAAAAUAAACAUGUAGUUUUUCCGUUAAGGCACACUUUGUGCAAAUAGAAUCAGCAUCAUGUCAAUCAUGUCUGAUCUGGUAGGCUGUUAUAGAUCUAUAAUACUAAUAGUAAAAGUUUCAUUAAAGAAAUAAAUUCAUACUUCUUGGCUAAAUUGUUAGUCUUAAAAACACCUACAAUAUGCUUCAGAAGGAAAUUAAUGUAAUUUUUUAAGUUUUUGACAGUCAAAAUAUGUAACUUAAAUAAUUCUUCUCUGGGUUGCUAAUAAAUUCUAGACAUAAAAAAUAAUUACACAUAGGUAUUUUAACUAAUAAAUUUGUAAACUGAAUUUUAUGGGUUAUGUGGGUACAAUAAAGUAAAAAUCAAUAUUAUAAUAUAAUCUAAUAUUUCUUAAGAUGUAUAUAUAGAAUAUUUACAUUUUAUGUAGAAAUAAAUUAAGCUAGGAGCAGAAAAUGUAUGUUGUAACUAUACAUAUUAUUAAACACUAAUUUAAUUAUUGUCUAGAAUGUGGGCUGUGGCUAUUUUUAAUGAAACUGAAGAAGUUGAGGCUGUACCCAUUGCCUGGCUAUCACCAUGCCAGACCAUUGUGUCAUGGCCACCUUUCAAGGCUACAAAGGUUUUGAAAUGCAUGAAAGAGCAGCAGCCAGCUGACAAAACAUGGCCUACCUAUCAAGUUAGGAUCCUUAGACGCUAUGAAAACUUUGAGGAAGCCAAAAAAGGGUCCAUUUUGGCACAGGAGACCUCCGACUUAAAUGAGGAUAUUUCUCUUCUACCCUUAGGCAGAGGAGCACGUGUGACAAAAAAGAGGACUUUUUCAAGUUCUGAGGAAGAAAUUCAGCCAUUCAAAAAAAAUGGCUGAGAAAGCUGUCACACAACUACCGGUACCACCAAAGGUUCCCAAAGAUUUAGCGUCAGGCGAAUCGAGACUUGGAAAUGAAUCAACAAUCAAUAUCUUAAAAACCCUGGUAGAGGUUAAGCACCAGGUGAUAUCACUCUCUCAAUAAGUGGUUGGGUUAGCUGACACUGUCCAGCAACUCAAAGAUGUAAUUGCACAGCAGGCGAGGGUGAUAGCAUCACUACAACCUCCACCAGCGGAAGAAAAUUUUGAUGUGAACCUGCCCCUUUCUAGCCUGGAAGAAUUUGACUUUCAUGAAGAAAAGUUGUCUGAUGAUAUAUAUAGAAAGUUUUUGAUAGCAAAAUUGUCACAUUUUGGUGGCAUACAUUUAAAGCAUACCAUUAAAAAAAUAUUGGACUAUAUGAUGACAACAACACUGCAAUGUCAAUUCAAUUGGGCUGGUAAACCAGGCUGGAAAGGGAAUGGAGUGGCUAGAAGAGGAUUUCAACAUUGCCAACUUUGUUUAGUAAUUGCAGAUUCUGUUCGACUCACAAAAAACAUGGAAAGAACAACUAACGAAGAGGUAUUUUCUUCAAUUAAAAUUUACUUAAGAAAUGCACGUGACAGGCAAGGUGGUGACAGGCAAGGUGGUCGACAAAGAAGACUGGAGACAGAUGCUGUUGGAGAGAUGGUCUGGCAUGGCGACAGCCAGGCAAUGGGUACAGCGUCAACUUCUUCUGUUUCAUUGAAAUUAGCCACAGCCCACAUUCUAGACAAUUAUUAAAUUAGUGUUUAAUAAAUAUGUAUGGUUACAACAUUCGUUUUCUGCUCCUAGCCUAAUUUUUUUAAUGACUUUUUUCAACGUUUAUAAUUAAAUUAAUUUUUUAAAUUUUUACUUUCUGUUGUAGAUAAAUAAUUUUGUAAAUAUAAUUAUUACUUUUUUAUAUGUAUAAAUAUUUUUAUUUUUGUGCAAAACAUUUUUUUUAUUCAGUUAUUAAAAUUUUAGAUUUUCUUUCUUUUUUUUUUUGUACAUUUAUAUUUUAUUGUAUCCUUGAUGAUUGUAAGCUUUAAAGCUUUUUUUUUAACUUUAUUUUUAUUGUCUUAAAUUAGAGGUUAUGUUCAUUAAGCACACUGAUAUAGGUUUAUUUCUAUUUUAUUAUAUUAAAUACCAUUUGUGUCCAAAGUUUUUUUUCUCCUGUAUUUUUUUUUUAAAUCUCAGUCAAAAUUUCUAAUUUAAUAGUUUGAUGAAAAUAGUUUUUCUUAAAUGAGACAUUACUUUUAACAUUACAUUUUUUUUUGUCACAGUUAUUUUUGUGUCUCACAUACAUUUACAUUUUUCUUUUUCACUGUUUAAUUAAAUUUUGUAUUAGCUUUAUUAAGUUCGAAUUUUAUAACAAGUUUUAUCUGAUUCUGGCGUCAUCAUUUUUAAUAAUAAAUAAAUCCUUAAAAUGAA